CUGAGAGACAGAAAGGUACAGAGAGACAGAGCAUCACCGCCUUAUCAAACGUAAACUCCACCUGAGAGACAGACAGGUACAGAGAGAGAGAGACAGAGCAUCACCGCCUUAUCAAACGUAAACUCCACCUGAGAGACAGACAGGUACAGAGAGAGAGACAGAGCAUCACCGCCUUAUCAAACGUAAACUCCACCUGAGAGACAGACAGGUACAGAGAGAGAGAGACAGAGCAUCACCGCCUUAUCAAACGUAAACUCCACCUGAGAGACAGACAGGUACAGAGAGACAGAGCAUCACCGCCUUAUCAAACGUACACUCCACCUGAGAGACAGACAGGUACAGAGAGAGAGAGACAGAGCAUCACCGCCUUAUCAAACCUAAACUCCACCUGAGAGACAGACAGGUACAGAGAGAGAGAGACAGAGCAUCA